AUUUGGUAUUCUGUUGGGCUGAAUGGGAGCAAAGCCUUUCCCGGUGCAGAGCUUCCAGGCUGGUGUGUGGAAGGAUCGUAGUUCGUUAGUUCUGAGAGACCUCCUGUUCCCAGAUGUGUCCUCUGCAGAUACUUGGCUGAAAAAGAAUCCUGACAGCAACUUUAAGCUUAUGUAAUUACCAUCUACUUGUGAAAUUCAAACCUGUGGUUGGUAAUAAUGGAGACUACGACUCCCGUGACUGAAUGACAAACUGGCUUUCAUUUUGGGCACUAACUAGAGUCAAGUGGUAGUGGCUGCCUGGAGUGCUGAGCACAGAAGAAAUCUGAGGCCGAGUCCUGGUUCACUGGGAAAGAAUGCCACAGUAGAUUCGUGAUGUCUGCCGUAAACAGGAGUGGGGGUGUUGACGUGUUGCUACAUAUCUCCUCUGUUCUAGCAAAAGAAUGCUACCACCUUUAUAAACAUCUCUUUUUAUUUGCUUAAUGAACUUAACUUUUGCUGACAAGCCAUUGGGGCUAUCUCUAGACAGGUGACUGAUAUUUCAGCUAAUUUGAAACUCGGUGUUUUUAUUUUUUUGUUUGUUUUCUUCUCUAGGCAUGUCCCUUCUAUCUUACAUCUCCCCUCCCCAGUUUUAGAAUCCUCUUCCUCCAUGAAACACUCAACAUUUUCAGAUUGAAUCAUGCUUUCUGGAAAGGAAAGCACCCAGCCAACCAAGGGGUCGUUCAUUCUGAAAACAUGCCUGUUUGAAGGGCGUGUUUAGAGUUGGCCGUGUUUCAACCAAAGGAAUACUUUUCUGUCGGUGAAAUUCAGGUCUCCUAGUGGAGAUUUGGGGCAUGGCUCUUCUCUUGACACAGUUUAAAUGACCAUAUAUGGUUCAUCAGAAUCCUCAAGUUUCUUGAGGUAAGUAUGAUGAACCACUUUGCUAUCUGCUUCACUUACUGCAGUGUAGCCUUAAGAUAGGCUAGACUCUUGUCAAGAAGCAACGUAAAUCCUAUUCUUUCUCUGUUCUUUCUGUCAAAAAAGCAUCCCCUUCCUACCUAGAGUAGCUAACUGCUGAAACAGAACCAUUCAGAUUGGAAUAUGCCUUUCCAUUUAUUCUAAGUAAUACAGCAGUUGGAAAGAAUACUGCAAAUACAGAUGUAUCAACUUGGAAACCAAUCCAUGAUAUAUUAAGUAAAACAAAAUCAUUCACAGCAUUGUGCAAAGAAAACUAUAAAUGAACGUACACAUGCAUAUAUGUGCACAUACUUUAAGCCUAUAUUUCAAGCAUAUGAAAUAGCCUAGAAGAAGUUAUUUUUAAAAUUUUUUAACUUUUAAGCAAGGAGAGGAGUUAGGGAGUGUGGGGGGAAGUGAAUGGGGUCUUCUGAUUUUUUGUUUUUAUUCUACAUCUGACUUUUUUUUUUGCUUGUAUAGCUGGCAUUCAUUACCUCUAUAUUUUCAAGAAAAAAAAUGUCUGAAGUUAAUUGGAAGAGAACAACAAAAGAAAUCAGGCCAUAAAAUGUUAAAAUGCAGUUAUUCAGAAUAAGAAAAAUGGCAUUUCCCAUUGUCCUGAUAACCCUAAAGUUUCCAGCUGCUAAUGAUCAUCUCCCAGGGUCCCGUAGGGUCCCGUACACACACGUGAAAUGAGGGAGGAAGGCCUUCUGGCGUCUUCUACUUCCGGCCCUCUCCUGUGGUCAGCUGAUGGGAGAUAAGAUGCUGGGGCCCCGUAUGGAACUGCUGACUAUCUUUAAAUGAAAUCAAGGUCUACUCUUUCAAAAUUGCUUCCUACACAUUAGCUAUUUACUCUUGUUUGUGGCUCUAUUUUACUACAACAAGAGAUAAAUACAAAGAGUGACAGGUCACGACAAGGGCCACCUUGACUCAGGGCUGCUAGUGUUGCUACCCCAGAGAUGGAACCAGAAAAGAGGGAAUUCAGCAGUUUUUUAUUGUAGAAGCUAAAUCCUUUGUCAGCAACUCACAUUAAAGUAGAAAGGUAAGAUAUUAGAUGGAAAAUAUUCUAUUAGAAGCUCUACUCCUGACUAAAUAAAGUGUGGUUUGGAUUAAAUGCGUCCUUAGAGGAACAAGAAAACAAGUGACCUUGUCAUUAAAUUAUUGCAGUCAAACAGGGAUGGAUUCAAUGCCACUGUUAGCACAGUAGGACAGACCUUCUCAAGAUACUGGAGACAAGGUUUCUGUCGGAAAGAUUCCCUGCAUGUUCCCACCCACGAUUGUCUUAAAGGGUAUUCCUAGAAUCAACUUGGGAGUUCCCGUCGUGGAGCAGUGGUUAACGAAUCCGACUAGGAACCAUGAGGUUGCGGGUUCGAUUCCUGCCCUUGCUCAGUGGGUUAACGAUCCAGCGUUGCCGUGAGCUGUGGUGUAGGUCACAGACGCGGCUCGGAUCCUGCAUUGCUGUGGCU
rnacentral:lncRNA from 1 species